UCUAAAAUCUGUUAUUGCCUUUUACCUUUACAUGACUACAGAGGAGAUUAGCAUGCCCUUGCACAAGGAUGACAUGCAAAUUUGCGAAACGUUCCAAAUUUUG